rnacentral:SRP_RNA from 1 species
GCCGGAUAUGGUGAUGCAUGCCUAUAGUCCCAGCUACUUGGGAGGCUGAGGCAGGAGAAUCACUUGAACCUGGGAGUUAAGGUUGCAGUGAGCCGAGAUGGCACCACUGUACUCCAGCCUGGGCGACAAGAGUGAAACUUCAUCUUGGUGGGGGGAUGCAGGGGGAAGAGGGCCGGGCUCGGUGGCUCACACCUGGUCUUGUUGCCCAGGUUGGAGUGUAAUGGUGCCAUCUUGGUUCACUGCAACCUUGACCUCCCGGGUUCAAGUGAUUCUCCUGCCUCA